UUGACAGUGGCUCAGUUGGUAGAGCAUUACACUAACAACACAAAUGCUUUGGGUUCAAAUCCCAGGGAAAG